rnacentral:rRNA from 1 species
GACGAACGCUGGCGGCGUGCUUAACACAUGCAAGUCGAACGGAAAGGCCCUGCUUUUGUGGGGUGCUCGAGUGGCGAACGGGUGAGUAACACGUGAGUAACCUGCCCUUGACUUUGGGAUAACUUCAGGAAACUGGGGCUAACACCGGAUAGGAGCUCCUGCUGCAUGGUGGGGGUUGGAAAGUUUCGGCGGUUGGGGAUGGACUCGCGGCUUAUCAGCUUGUUGGUGGGGUAGUGGCUUACCAAGGCUUUGACGGGUAGCCGGCCUGAGAGGGUGACCGGCCACAUUGGGACUGAGAUACGGCCCAGACUCCUACGGGAGGCAGCAGUGGGGAAUAGUGCAAAAUGGGCGGAAGCCUGAUGCAGCAACGCCGCGUGCGGGAUGACGGCCUUCGGGUUGUAAACCGCUUUCGCCUGUGACGAAGCGUGAGUGACGGUAAUGGGUAAAGAAGCACCGGCUAACUACGUG